rnacentral:rRNA from 1 species
UGAGGAAUAUUGGUCAAUGGGCGGGAGCCUGAACCAGCCAUGCCGCGUGAAGGCGAGUGCCCUACGGGCGUUAAACUUCUUUUGUGCGGGAGCAAUAAGGGCCACGCGUGGCCCGAUGAGAGUACCGCACGAAUAAGCAUCGGCUAACUCCGUGCCAGCAGCCGCGGUAAUACGGAGGAUCCGAGCGUUAUCCGGAUUUAUUGGGUUUAAAGGGAGUGUAGGUGGAUUGUUAAGUCAGUUGUGAAAGUUUGCGGCUCAACCGUAAAAUUGCAGUUGAAACUGGCAGUCUUGAGUACAGUAGAGGUGGGCGGAAUUCGUGGUGUAGCGGUGAAAUGCUUAGAUAUCACGCAGAACCCCGAUUGCGAAGGCAGCAUGCCGGCUUCCUACUGACGCUGAAGCA